UACGAAGGGGGCUAGCGUUGCUCGGAAUCACUGGGCGUAAAGCGCACGUAGGCGGCUUGCUAAGUCAGGGGUGAAAUCCUGGAGCUCAACUCCAGAGCUGCCUUUGAUACUGGCGAUCUUGAGUCCGGGAGAGGUGAGUGGACCUGCGAGUGUAGAGGUGAAAUUCGUAGAUAUUCGCAAGAACACCAGUGGCGAAGGCGGCUCACUGGCCCGGUACUGACGCUGAGGUGCGAAAGCGUGGGGAGCAAACAGG
rnacentral:rRNA from 1 species